AUAAAUUUGGUGAAUUCAAAAGAAAUUCAUGUAUAUAAAUAUCGAUAAUUUGACUUUCGAUGCCUACUUUCCCAUGCAGUACGCUUGGUAAAAGCCAAAAGGAAGCGAAUGCAUUAAACAACAGGAAAACAUAAGAAAUGCCAAAUAACAAGCGAAAAUCUAUCAAAACAUUAGAAAAUUGAAAUAAACAAUACACAAUCAGAAAUGAAAACCAAAGCCAAAUAUGAGCACGAAGCUGGAAAGCACUCUUCAGCAAGCGGAAGGCAAACAACAACGAAAAUAAAAAAGGAAAAUGGGUCAGUUAUUCAAAGUCAGCUCUUUAAAGCGAAUAAAAUGAUGGGACAAGUUGAAUGCUUGAUCUUAACGGCUUAUAUGACCCGGCAAAUUAAAUGUUACACCAGCAACAAAAUUUGGCUAAUAAAGCAUGAAUUAGUUGCUGCCCGACAUACACACCCACACAGGCGUACAUACACGCACACAGUCACACAUCGGAUGGCAUAAUUAAACAUAUGAUUGUUGGACAAGGGGCGGCCGGCAAGACUAAUAUGCCCAAUCAUAAAACUAAUCUACAUGAAAAAAGCUCAUUAAAAUAACGCAUACGCCUCGUUGGCCGCUGUCAACAAGCUAGCCAGCAUAACAACAACAACAACAACAAUAACAAUGCGUCAAAGAAGAAGCAGAAGAGUUGCUGACAAAUGUGUACAUGGACUGAUAAAUGUAGUUGACUGUAAAUGCGUCUGGCCGUAAGCAGCUCCUUCACUGACUGGUUUUUGCGGCUGGGCCACGUCUAACCGAGCAAAUUAACAUAAAUGAAUUUGCAGCUGUCGCUCGUAAAGUUAUUACACCGUGCCAGACAAAUGUGGCUAAGAACAAAUCACACUGACCCCGUAGUUGAGAAUAGUGGGCGUGUGUCGACUGCCAGCCUGAGUUAAAGAUAAAUGGAAAGUCCUGAAGCUGUAAACAUGUGGCUUUAAUAACGUCACAUGAAUCAUUUAUGCUAUGCUAAAUCCAAAUACCAGCAGCAACAGCAGCAGCAGCGACGGCUUUGAAGGUGCCAAGCAUAUUAAGUAAUACGCAUCGCGCUCCAAAAUCCAGCCGCGACUUUAAGGACGAGGCACUAACCUACUACAACAAGGCGCCUUAAUAAUAAUAAUAAUAAAAAAAAGCAAACUGUGUCAGUGCGAAUGCCGAAACUCCACUGAGAGCGCAUUGUGGGGCAUGCGCACUGCCAAAUAGCAUCCACAAACAAUUCGAAAUGUCUAACAUUGACCAAGAAAAAACAACAUGCCACAUGCCACACAGCAAAGCGACAACCAGCAGCAGCGGCAGCAGCAGCAGCAGAAGCAGCAGCAUCCCGACUUCAGUCAAACGGCGUUGCUGCUAGCGUAGACAACACACAUCCUAUUUGCCACAGGCAGGCGCUUUCGUCCUGUGCGUGCCACACACGUCAAAACGCAAACGCGUGUAUUUCUCUUGCACCGGCUGCAGUUUUUCUUGUGAAAAUCUUAUUUAAAAAAAUAUCUAAAAAAAAAUUAAAAUAUUAUUGAAAUGCUCAAUCAGAUCGUGAUCGUUAACAAAAUUAAAUUUGCCAGCUGCUGACGUGCAUAUUUUUUGGGCCAGGUUAACAAUUUGCUUGCUGAACUUGUUGCCAAAGUUGGGCAUAGCCUUGUGCUAGCCGCGCGUUGACCGCGACCGCUAAUUAGCAUUGGAUUGUGGUUGAGAAAAAAAACCAAUAUUAUGUACAGCUAGUGGAAGAACAAAAUUAAAUCAAAACUUGAUCAAAAUAAUUAAAAUCCUAUACCUUAAAAAAUUUAGAAAAUUCAAAU